GGGAAUGUUCACUCCAAUUUCCCUCUCUCUGCAAUCUUGGAGAGGGUAUGUCUGUUUGCGGUUUACAAUAAACUACACCAGUAUACGGCUAAAGAGAGAAGUUAUCUGUCAUGUAUUAGAAUUAUUAUUCCGCCGUGAGAGUGUGACUCUGCUAACAGGUUAUGGGCCAAGUAACCACGCGAUUCUAAUAGUUUGACGACGGACACGUGCGAUAGCAAGAUGUCUUCUUGCUUGCACGCUGAGAGAUAGCUAGUUUAGCGACGGGAGAACCGGGAAGCUAAAGCUAGGCUAAAAGGGAGCUAAGCUGAGCUACGGACAUAAAAAGCCAUGGCGAACAGAAGCAAGACCAAGUGGCCCACGUUCGACGGGAGAGCAGAGGAGUAUGAGCUAUGGGAAGAAAGGAUGUUGUGCUGCAUGCACGGAGUAGGACUGAAGCAGAUAAUCCUGAACGAACAUCCUGGACCUCUGUCAGCGGCCGAACAGGCCGAAGAUGACAAGCUUAAUGCUGACACAUUGACAGGGCUCUCAGUGCGCUUGUGCCCAAGAUGACGGCGGCAGCAGCCAUGAAGCGGGUCGUGGACGAGAUAACGUCCGGGGAGCUGCGGGAAGAGAAGACUUCACGAUCAGCACGCAGACAGAAGAUGCCAGCCGGACAGCGCAACAGCUGCAGAUCCAGAGAAAAGGACUGAUCGGGGACACGGGCGCGUCGUCCCACAUCCUCAAUGACAGGAGCCGAUUCAAGAACUUUGACAGCACCUUCAAGCCGGAGAGACACAGCAUGGAGCUGGCAGACGGGAAGCGCACCUUCGGGUUGGCGCAAGGCAGGGGAGACGAACAGGUAUGCCUCAUUGACAGCGAGGGGCGCAGGUGUGCAGCGACGUUAAAGAAGGCCCUCUACAUCCCCUCAUUCCCCCAAGGACUCUUCUCGGUAAAGAGUGACACAACCAGUGGUGCUAAGGUAUCUUUUGACGAAGGGAUACAAAUGUUUCAACAUUUGGAAUGUGAUGGAUUACAAACAGCUGUAAGUAUGCUUGCCUUCAAUACAAUCAGAAAAUUGCUUUCUUUUUAUUGCCCUUUUCCCCAGUUCUGGAGGGUCUUCUGAAUCUGUCUGUGCUGACGAUGUAUAAUUAAACUCGGUGCACUCCUUUUCACUUUCUGUAAAAAAGUCAGAAGUUGCAAAGUCAUGUAAACCAACCGACAUGUGUUAUUUGGAAAUUUUCUUUAUAGCAGUGUAAAAAAUUACAUGGAUGUAAACUAGCCCAAAAUCUCAAAUUUGACCAGGUCAUGAAAAAUCGAUGUUUUCACCUGCCGUGUCUCGCCUUAAGCAU
ensembl:lncRNA